rnacentral:lncRNA from 1 species
AAGCUCGCCCAUCAGAACAGUUUCUGUCCUUCCCACUCGGUGAGCGGCCGCAGCAAUGAUCUUCCCGCGGUGAUCGCGAACAAGAAAACCAGCCCCUGUAGCCUCCCCGUUCCCUUGGAUGGAAACAUCUGUAUCCAGCCGGAAUAAACCAGUAGGAGGUGGAAUCCAAGAGCAAUCCCCAACGUUGGGCAGGAGCCUGUCUUUCGUCAAAAAG